rnacentral:rRNA from 1 species
ACGGAGGGUGCGAGCGUUAUCCGGAUUUAUUGGGUUUAAAGGGUGCGUAGGCGGACUAAUAAGUCAGUGGUGAAAUCUUGCAGCUUAACUGUAAAACUGCCAUUGAUACUGUUAGUCUUGAAUUUAGUUGAGGUAGGCGGAAUGUGUUGUGUAGCGGUGAAAUGCAUAGAUAUAACACAGAACACCAAUUGCGAAGGCAGCUUACUAAGCUAUAAUUGACGCUGAUGCACGAAAGCGUGGGUAGCGAACAGG